GCUGGAAAGAUGAAAGGCUGCGGUUUAAGGGGCCUAUGCAACGUCUCCCUCUCAACAACCUUCUUGCCAGCAAAAUCUGGACCCCAGACACAUUCUUCCACAAUGGGAAGAAGUCCAUUGCGCACAACAUGACGACACCCAACAAGCUGCUGAGGCUGGAGGAUGAUGGCACACUUCUCUACACCAUGCGCUUUUCACAAAUGCCAACUAGUUCUGUACAAGACGAGACCAAUGACAACAUCACAAUAUUCACCAGGAUCUUGGACGGGCUCUUGGAUGGCUAUGACAACAGACUGCGGCCUGGGCUGGGAGAGCGAAUCACGCAGGUGCGAACAGACAUCUAUGUUACCAGCUUUGGCCCAGUGUCCGACACGGAAAUGGAAUAUACCAUAGAUGUGUUUUUCCGACAAA
rnacentral:sRNA from 1 species